rnacentral:rRNA from 1 species
ACAGCAGUAGCCGCGGGAAUACGUAGGGUGCGAGCGUUAAUCGGAAUUACUGGGCGUAAAGCGUGCGCAGGCGGUUUGUAAGACAGGUGUGAAAUCCCCGGGCUUAACCUGGGAACUGCGCUUGUGACUGCACAGCUAGAGUAUGGCAGAGGGGGGUGGAAUUCCACGUGUGGCAGUGAAAUGCGUAGAGAUGUGGAGGAACACCGAUGGCGAAGGCAGCCCCCUGGGCCAAUACUGACGCUCAUGCACGAAAGCGUGGGGAGCAAACAGGAUUAGAUACCCCAGUAGUCCCUGUCUCUUAUACA